GCAAAACAACCUCAGAAUGAGGACGGCGCAACUUUUACUCUUCUGUCUGCUGGUGUGCCAAACUAUGCAGAGUUUAACUGAUAAAUGGGUGAAUUUAGGGAAAAAUGUGAUUUUAGACUGUCAUCUUGGUAGAAAUGAUGUUUAUUGGGUUUUCCAGAAACUUUCAGAUUCUCCAAUAUUGAUUCUGCGAACUUUCACAACAGACUCUACAUCAUCUUUUAUACACGACGAAAGACUGAAAGACAAAUAUUCAUCACUGACUUGGAGCCGUUUAUUUAUUAGUAACAUAACUAUUAAUGAUUUAGGAAUAUAUUAUUGUGCAAAAACAGUCACAAUUCUACAGAUCAGCAAUGGCACCAGACUUCACACCAAUGAAUCUGCCCAAAAUCAAAACCAAACAGAACACGAGCAUCAGGAACAGCCAUGUGAGAAAACACUUGAGUUUCAUAAGAUUCUGACUGUUACAUCCAUCCUAAUGAACAUUGUGCUGAUUAUUGCAAUUAUAGGCUUAUUUCAGAUCAAACUCCAAGCGUGUAAAAAAAGACACCAACAAUGUCAAGAUGAGAAACUGGAGCAGCUUUACAGCACAAAUGAUGAAGAGUUUUCUGAAGUGGAGUUUCGUCUGUUUCACCCGACCAACAACACUUUUGUUCCUUUUCAAAGCCAAAGACAAGAUUUAGACAAAUAUAAUCAAGAGUAAAUCAUCUCAUACAGUCUAACAGAAGUAUAUUUUGAUAAAUAAUCAUGGGGAAAAAAAUUUGUUAGCUUGAUUGUUGUUUAAGAUUGACUGACGUGUAUUACCUGAACAUGUAAUGAAAUAUCAAUAUUGUUCUCAGCAUUACUUCUUUUUACUUUUCAGUAGCAAUAUAUUCAAGUAAUGUGAGGCAACAUAUAAUGUUUCCUAUGUUCUGAUUGGCUGGACUGGUUGUGGGAACCAUCUUUGGGAAAAAUUCAAUUGAAGUGUAAUUUUGAUUUAUUAUUUUGGCUCACAUGCCAUUGGUUUAGAAGGCGGGGUUUAUGAUCUGUAAUGCAGUCAGCCAGCAGAUGGCGAUGGAAAUGUUCUGGCUUCACUUUUCAGGAUGUGUGAGGCACACUUGUUUUGUACGGGUUAAAUAACCAUAGAUAUAUAUAUAAGCACUAGAUCUCUUAAGGCGGAGUCACUUCCGGCAUCAUAGGGCGGCCAUCUUGCCACAGGGAAGCUUUCUGGCAAGUUCUGAGGUAUCUGAGGUAUCUGAGUGAUCAGCACGAACAUAAAUCUUCUUAUCUCGCUGAAAUCUUGACGGAUUUACAAACGGUUUGGUUUCUUACAAACGUUAUUAACGUGGCUAUAAUUCUGAAUGCUGUAACAUGUUGAAAUUGCAGAUUGUUAUAAUUAUUCAUAUGUAUGCAGUGUCAUAACUACAUCUCUGACGUUGAUAACAAAUCAAACCGUUUGAAAAUCGGUAGAUAAUUGAGCAAGUUAUGGUUAUUUAAAAAGUACAUGCUUCAUACAACACAAUGUUACGAGUGAGCGAGCACCCUGUGGCAAGAUGGCCGCCGUGUGCGGACGUCGACCUCCAUUGGCCAACAGCGUGUACGAGGUAUCUAGUGUUUAUAUAUAUAUCUAUGUAAAUAACUGGAAGCCUGGCACAGUCAAGUCACAAACGGCCGUGCCCGCUCUUAUGCUAAAAAUAAGGUGGAUAAAUGCUCAUUUGUUUGCUCUAAAUUGUGUGUGCGUGUACAACUAUACCAUAUUCUGGGGACAAUUUUGCACCUAAGUGAGUUAAAUCUGAUGAAACCUCCUUCAAUCAUAAUUUGUAAAAAUGGUUUAAAAACAAAGUAGGUUAAAUUAAGUAUUUUAACAAUAUUAAUAUCUGUUCUGUAUAUAAAACAAUAUGCAACUUCCCAUUUGGAUUGGUAAGAAAAUGUUUGUGUCGGUGUGUGGUGUUAAUAUGCAGAUUGUAUGUUUAUGAGCUGUGUAAAUAAUUUAUUAAUGUAUUUCAUUGUCAAUCAAUAAUCUGUGUUGCAUAUUUGAUGGAUAAAACUUGACUUGGGUAAUGCUGAGUGCUGCUGUCACUCUUCUGAAGUUCACACUUCUGGUUUUUAUGUUUUUUAAUGUAUCUAUAUUUUCUUGCUGCAGUCGUCUGCUCCAAGUCUGUUUUUUUUUUUUUUUUUCACAUUUGUGGGUUAGUUGGCUUCAACUCUGGUCUGGUUGAUAUGUCAAGUUUGUGUACAAAGUCACACAUUGUGGAAAGUUCCAGCGCAUGGGCCUCUGGUAUUUUCGUCUUCGAUUUCAUCACUAUUAAGUGUGUUUGCUGGUUUCCUCUUUUAUUCUGCAGAAGCAGUUUUGCUCAGAUUGGUGUGAACUAUUUACUGUAUAUCCUCUAAACAACCACAGAAUGAGGACAGUGCAGCUUUUAGUCUUCGGUCUGCUGGUGUGUCAAAAUACAGAGCGUUUAACUGAUAAAUGGGUGAAAACGUGACUUUAGACUGUCAGAUUGGUGUAAGAGACAUUUACUGGGUUUUCCAGAAACUGACCGAUUCUCCGGAGCUGAUACUGCGAACUUUCUCAUUAGAUUCUACACGAUCUCACGUAGACCAAAGACUAAAAGACAAAUAUUCAUCACUAACUUUUAGCCAUUUACUUAUUAGGAAUGUAACUAUUAAUGAAUUAGGAAUAUAUUAUUGUGCAAAACUAAACAGAAGUCUACAGCUCUGAAAUGGCAUCAGACUUUACAUCACUGGUAAGUGUGUAUAAAUUUAUUUUGACAAAUCAGUUUGAUCUGUUGUUAUAUCUAUGAAUGAUCUAAAAGCAGUUAUCAUGUACAUAUUACAUUCAAUUUGUAUUUUAACCUUUAUUUCUAUCAGAGGUCUAUGCAAAACUGAUGCAUGUUAGGGAUUUCCAAACACUAAACCCUUGUAUUUUCUGUUCAGAAGAAGCUGCUCGAAAUCACAAUCAGACAGAACUGAAAAAUAACUCGCAAUGUCCGAAUACACAGCAAUCUCUCAUAAUUGUGUACUUCAUACCAAAUAUUGUGAUGUUUUUGGCAACAAUAGGCCUAUUUCAGUUCAAACUUCAAGAGUGUAAGAAAAGAUGUCAACGAUGUCGAGAUGAGAAACUGGAGCAUCUUUACAGCACAAAUGAUGACGAGUUUUCUGACGUUUCGUCUGUUUCACCCGACUAACAACACUUUUGUUCCUUUUCAAAAGCCAAAGACAAGAACUAGACAAAUAUAAUCAGGAGUAAAUCACCUCAUAGAGUCUAAUAGUACGUAUUGUAUAUUGUGCUAAAUAAUGAGUAAAAUAUUGUUAGCUUGACUGCUGUUAAAAAUUGACUGAUGUUUGUUACCUAAACAUGCAUGUAAUACAAAAUUUGCAAUGUUUUCAGGAUGACUUUGCUUUUGUUUUGAUAAUUAAGUCUUGUAAAUAAAAUCUUAAAUCUUAAUUCUAUAUGUUUAUAUCGAGUGGCUUCAUUCUUUGACUCUGGGCUUUUAUACACAUAAUGAUGUAAAAUCACGAAGGGGAAUGAAGAUUUUUUAAAUGUUUUUCAAAGUCAAAAAACAGGAAAAAGAAAUAUUAUGAACUACUGUAAUUUAAAUGAACUGUUUUAUGCGAUUUUUUAAUUUUUUUAAAUGUAAUUAAUAUAACUUGAAUUUAUGCAUUAGUUCAAAUAUUGUAAAGCUUGGUGUUAUAAUGUAAUAACGUAAGGUGACGUGAACAAUCUUUAUGUUUCCUGCGUCUUUAUUGACUGGAUGCUUGUUUACCUUAAGCGUGAAAUAUGUAAAUGCUUAUUUGUUUUUUUGUUUAUGUGUGGUGUUAAUAAUCAAAUUGUAAGUUUAUGUUUUAAGGGUUUAUUAACAUAUUUCAAUGCCAAUAAAUAGGCCUUCUGUAUUUGACAUAUAAAACUUAUGUAAUGCUG